rnacentral:lncRNA from 1 species
ACUGAGAGAACAAUAAAUGAAGAAACAAUGAAAAGGUCAAGCACUUAUUCAGAAUUCCUCAUGAAUACCACUGAAGGAAAUCUUGCUUAUAGUGGAAAAACCCAAACAUGAGAUGCAAGUACUACAUCAAAACAGAACAAAGCCCCAUUUUUGUGUCUGUCUUCAGGAGAAUGCACUGAAUUAAAAAAAAAAGGAUGUAACAAUGUGGCAACCACAGUGACGUGCACCAUCAUCAAUAUUCCUACCAUAGUAAACACUCAUUUUCUAAUCUUACAAGUAAGAGUGGAUAUGGGAGAGAAGAAAGAUUCUUCAUUACUGCAUGUAAAAGCCCUGAAUAAAUUGCACAAAAUUGAUCUCUUGCAC